AUUUAAAGAAGGAACGACAAAACAUACCAUUUGUUUUUACAAAGAACUCAAGAGCUAAACCCAGAGAUUUUACGUCUUCAAAUAUUGUUCAUUGAAGAUUUUAACUCUGAGCAGAAUUGGAUAAAAGCAUGUCCUCUAAGGGAAGAGCUUAUCUGAAGGACGACAUUAAUUACAGUGUAAAUGAUGAAUACGAUUCUCGAGAAGGUAAUGACAUCGAACCUAGUUAUGGUGUG